CUUGUCACUGUAAGUUGACUAUUAGAGUCAAAAUGAAUGAUGGCUUUGAUUAAUUUUAUGAGAAUUGUCUCUGGCGUUCUCUUUUAGAUAUUAAUAUGUUUGAAGAUUUAGUAGAGAAAGUAGAGUGUAGAUGUCAAAAUGUACUCCUGGAUCUCUACAUCUUUUUAACUCAGGAAGUAACUCCGGAUGCACAAUGUGGAGUUCUUGAGUAUCUCUAGAUCCAAACCCUUGAUAGAGAUUGUGGUUUAAGACGAAUUUAAAGCUCUACAAGAUUUGGUUUGACAUGGGUGGAUAUGCGAGAAUGAAUAAGAUCUUGAAGGAGCUUCACAAAUCUUGUCGGAAAGAAGAUGGGACAAAUGAUUAAAAGAAGGGAACUCAGUUUUUGGAAGUGUAUGCUAUUGAGAUCCAAACGUACACACAGACAAAGAAUUGUAAAAAAUCUCAAGCACAAUUGUUACAUUGUUACGACAUAACCUUAGCGUGCAUUCCAUGGAGGCUUCAAGACAAUUAGUGGGGACUGGGGAGUGAAUCUAGGAUUGCUUAAGUACAUUUGGAGGGUGCAAUGUGGUGAUGAUGCGCAACGAGUGAGUAAGAAAGAUUUACAAUGUUUAAUUUAGAAAUAAUGAAAGUAAUCUAAAACAUAGAAAUCCACAUGAUUGAACUUAUGCAAUGUUUAGAUAUG